rnacentral:lncRNA from 1 species
AUGAUGCGCCCUGCACUGGUCACAGAGCUGGUCUUGCAAAUCUCCAUCCAACAGGAGGGAGAAACCCCAGAGUACCCAACAGUUCCUCCCACACAGUUACUCCCACCAGCUACUCCCACAGUUCCUCCCACACAGCUACUCCCACACAGUUCCUCCCACACAGUUACUCCCACCAGCUACUCCCACAGUUAUUCCCACACAGUUCCUCCCACACAGUUACUCCCACAGUUCCUCCCACACAGUUACUCCCACAGUUCCUCCCACACAGUUCCUCCCACACAGUUCCUCCCACAGUUACUCCCACACAGUUCCUCCCAGUUCCUCCCACACAGCUACUCCCACACAGUUCCUCCCACAGUUCCUCCCACACAGUUACUCCCGCACAGUUCCUCCCACAGUUCCUCCCACACAGUUCCUCCCACAGUUCCUCCCACACAGUUACUCCCACAGUUCCUCCCACACAGUUCCUCCCACACAGUUCCUCCCACAGUUACUCCCACAGUUCCUCCCACACAGUUACUCCCACAGUUACUCCCAGUUACUUCCACACAGUUACUCCCACACAGUUCCUCCCACAGUUCCUCCCACACAGUUCCUCCCACACAGUUCCUCCCACAGUUACUCCCACAGUUCCUCCCACACAGUUACUCCCACAGUUACUCCCACAGUUACUCCCAGUUACUUCCACACAGUUACUCCCACACAGUUCCUCCCACAGUUCCUCCCACACAGUUCCUCCCACAGUUACUCCCACACAGUUACUUCCACACAGUUACUCCCACACAGUUCCUCCCACAGUUACUCCCACACAGUUACUCCCACAGUUACUCCCACACAGCUACUCCCACACAGUUCCUCCCACACAGUUCGUGUGCCUGCGGCCAUCGCCCACCUGCAUCCCACGUUGCAUCAAGAAAUGCAGACCAGGUUGGCAUGGCCUGGCACCCUGUGGCAGGUAACACCAACAACCGGAAAGAGACAGUUGGGUGCUCUGGCCCCGGGCCUGAAAAGCACCCGGCUCGGUGGAGAAACACCGGGGUGGCCACACCCACAGUUCUGCCGCAGAGAAGGAAACUUUUCAUAGGAGCGGGGCUGCUGCAUCAAAGCAGCUCGAAUUAG